rnacentral:rRNA from 1 species
UACGCUGUGCGGCAGGCCUAACACAUAGCAAGUCGAGCGGUAGAGAGAAGCUUGCUUCUCUUGAGAGCGGCGGACGGGUGAGUAAUGCCUAGGAAUCUGCCUGGUAGUGGGGGAUAACGUUCGGAAACGGACGCUAAUACCGCAUACGUCCUACGGGAGAAAGCAGGGGACCUUCGGGCCUUGCGCUAUCAGAUGAGCCUAGGUCGGAUUAGCUAGUUGGUGAGGUAAUGGCUCACCAAGGCGACGAUCCGUAACUGGUCUGAGAGGAUGAUCAGUCACACUGGAACUGAGACACGGUCCAGACUCCUACGGGAGGCAGCAGUGGGGAAUAUUGGACAAUGGGCGAAAGCCUGAUCCAGCCAUGCCGCGUGUGUGAAGAAGGUCUUCGGAUUGUAAAGCACUUUAAGUUGGGAGGAAGGGUUGUAGAUUAAUACUCUGCAAUUUUGACGUUACCGACAGAAUAAGCACCGGCUAACUCUGUGCCAGCAGCCGCGGUAAUACAGAGGGUGCAAGCGUUAAUCGGAAUUACUGGGCGUAAAGCGCGCGUAGGUGGUUUGUUAAGUUGGAUGUGAAAUCCCCGGGCUCAACCUGGGAACUGCAUUCAAAACUGACUGACUAGAGUAUGGUAGAGGGUGGUGGAAUUUCCUGUGUAGCGGUGAAAUGCGUAGAUAUAGGAAGGAACACCAGUGGCGAAGGCGACCACCUGGACUAAUACUGACACUGAGGUGCGAAAGCGUGGGGAGCAAACAGGAUUAGAUACCCUGGUAGUCCACGCCGUAAACGAUGUCAACUAGCCGUUGGAAGCCUUGAGCUUUUAGUGGCGCAGCUAACGCAUUAAGUUGACCGCCUGGGGAGUACGGCCGCAAGGUUAAAACUCAAAUGAAUUGACGGGGGCCCGCACAAGCGGUGGAGCAUGUGGAUUAAUUCGAAGCAACGCGAAGAACCUUACCAGGCCUUGACAUCCAAUGAACUUUCUAGAGAUAAGAUUGGUGCCUUCGGGAACAUUGAGACAGUGCUGCAUGACUGUCGUCAGCUCGUGUCGUGAGAUGUUGGGUUAAGUUCCGUACGAGCGCAACCCUUUGUCCUUAGUUACCAGCACGUUAUGGUGGGCACUCUAAGGAGACUGCCGGUGACAAACGACGAAGGUGGGGAUGACGUCAGUCAUCAUGGCCCUUACGGCUGGCUACACACGUGCUACAUGGUCGGUACGAAGGUUGCAGGCGCGAGGUGGAGCUAAUCCAUAAACGAUCGUAGUCGAUCCAGCCGGCAACUCGCACUGCGUGGUCGGAUUCCUAGUAUUCCGAAUCAAUGUCCGGGAUUCGUUCGGCUUGUACACACGCGUCAACAUGGGAUCGUUCCCAGAGAAGCUUGUUAACUUCCGGGAUGACGGUUUUACACGUGGGUAUUUCUUAC